rnacentral:rRNA from 1 species
GGAAGGAGUUGUAGCCGAAACGGUACGCGAAAUGUAGCGCAACCGCUAUGCGAUGAGACUGCGCCGGAUCAGGCAGUUGGCGGGGUAACGGCCCACCAAACCUAUUACCCGUAGGGGUUGUGAGAGCAAGAGCCCCGAGAAGGGCACUGAGACAAGGGCCCUAGUGCUACGGCAUGCAGCGGGAGCGCAAACUCUACAAUGCGCGUAAGCGUGAUAGGGGGAAUCCGAGUGGUUCACUUCGGUGAACCUUUUGCCAAGUACAGCAAGCUUGGCGAAUAAGAGCUGGGCAAGACCGGUGGCAGCCGCCACGGUAAUACCGGCAGCUCAAGUGGUGUCCACGAUUAUUGGGCUUAAAGCGCUCGUAGCUGGCCUACACCGUUUCAUGUGAAAUAUUGGCGCUCAACGUCAAUGCGUGCAUGAAAUACCUGUAGGCUAGGGAGUGGGUGAGGUAAGGGGUACUCAUAGGGGAGGGGUAAAAUCCUGUAAUCCUGUGAGGACCAACGGUGGCGAAGGCGCCUUACCAGAACACAUCCGACAGUGAGGAGCGAAGGCUAGGAGAACGAAUCGGAUUAGAUACCCGAGUAGCCCCUAGCAGUAAAUUAUGCAGACUCUGGUGUUGCAAUAGUCUUGAACGAUUGCAGUACCGUAGCGAAAGUGUUAAGUCUGCCGCCUGGGGAGUACGGCCGCAAGGUUGAAACUUAAAGGAAUUGGCGGGGGAGCACAAGGGC